CAAAACCCUCUCGAACUUUCUUCUCUUUGAGACGUUUUCGAGAAGAUGAGUGAAAGACGAAGACACAGCUCAACGGCGGCAUUUUAUCGGAAGAAACUUCUCCAUUACGAGGAACGAGAGUCAGCACAAGUGUUUGCCUCCUUCAGAUUGCUAAACAUGGUGAGAUCGACUAUGAGGUAGUUGUUAAGCUUAUUGAAGGUUUUAAUGAAGGAGACCU